rnacentral:rRNA from 1 species
AUUGAACGCUGGCGGCAGGCUUAACACAUGCAAGUCGAACGGUAACAGGAAGAAAGCUUGCUUUCUUUGCUGACGAGUGGCGGACGGGUGAGUAAUGCUUGGGAAUCUGUUUCAUGGAGGGGGAUAACUACGGGAAACUGUAGCUAAUACCGCGUAAUAUCGAGAGAUUAAAUGUGUGGGACCGUAAGGCCACAUGCCAUGAAGUGAGCCCAAGUGGGAUUAGAUAGUUGGUGAGGUAAUGGCUCACCAAGUCAGCGAUCUCUAGCUGGUCUGAGAGGAUGACCAGCCACACUGGGACUGAGACACGGCCCAGACUCCUACGGGAGGCAGCAGUGGGGAAUAUUGCACAAUGGGCGCAAGCCUGAUGCAGCCAUGCCGCGUGAAUGAAGAAGGCCUUCGGGUUGUAAAGUUCUUUCGGUGGUGAGGAAGGUUGGCGUGUUAAUAGCACGUUGAUUUGACGUUAGCCACAGAAGAAGCACCGGCUAACUCCGUGCCAGCAGCCGCGAUAAUACGGAGGGUGCGAGCGUUAAUCGGAAUAACUGGGCGUAAAGGGCACGCAGGCGGUGACUUAAGUGAGGUGUGAAAGCCCUGGGCUUAACCUAGGAAUUGCAUUUCAUACUGGGUCGCUAGAGUAUUUUAGGGAGGGGUAGAAUUCCACGUGUAGCGGUGAAAUGCGUAGAGAUGUGGAGGAAUACCGAAGCGAAGGCAGCCCCUUGGGAAUAUACUGACGCUCAUGUGCGAAAGCGUGGGGAGCAAACAGG